rnacentral:rRNA from 1 species
CGAACGCUGGCGGCGUGCCUACUACAUGCACGUAGAACGCUGAAGGAGGAGCUUGCUUCUCUGGAUGAGUUGCGAACGGGUGAGUAACGCGUAGGUAACCUGCCUGGUAGCGGGGGAUAACUAUUGGAAACGAUAGCUAAUACCGCAUAAGAGUAGAUGUUGCAUGACAUUUGCUUAAAAGGUGCAAUUGCAUCACUACCAGAUGGACCUGCGUUGUAUUAGCUAGUUGGUGGGGUAACGGCUCACCAAGGCGACGAUACAUAGCCGACCUGAGAGGGUGAUCGGCCACACUGGGACUGGGACACGGCCCAGACUCCUACGGGAGGCAGCAGUAGGGAAUCUUCGGCAAUGGACGGAAGUCUGAACGAGCAACGCCGCGUGAGUGAAGAAGGUUUUCGGAUCGUAAAGCUCUGUUGUAAGAGAAGAACGAGUGUGAGAGUGGAAAGUUCACACUGUGACGGUAUCUUACCAGAAAGGGACGGCUAACUACGUG